UACGUAGGGUGCGAGCGUUAAUCGGAAUUACUGGGCAUAAAGCGUGCGCAGGCGGUUCGUUGUGUCGGCGGUGAAAGCCCCGGGCUUAACCUGGGAAUGGCCGUUGAAACUGGCGAACUGGAGUGUGGCAGAGGGGGGUGGAAUUCCGCGUGUAGCAGUGAAAUGCGUAGAGAUGCGGAGGAACACCGAUGGCGAAGGCAGCCCCCCUGGGCUAACACUGACGCUCAUGCACGAAAGCGUGGGGAGCAAACAGG
rnacentral:rRNA from 1 species